GACGAACGCUGGCGGCGUGCUUAACACAUGCAAGUCGAACGAAGUGGCGAACGGGUGAGUAACGCGUAAUCAACCUGCCCUUCAGAGGGGGACAACAGGUGGAAACGAAUGCUAAUACCGCAUACUGAAGGAGGGGCUUGCGUCUGAUUAGCUAGUUGAAGGGGUAACGGCCCACCAAGGCGACGAUCCGUAGCUGGUCUGAGAGGAUGAGCAGCCACACUGGAACUGAGACACGGUCCAGACUCCUACGGGAGGCAGCAGUUGGGAAUAUUGGACAAUGGGCGAAAGCCUGAUCCAGCCAUACCGCGUGGGUGAAGAAGGCCUUCGGGUUGUAAAGCCCUUUUGUUGGGAAAGCGGUACCCAAAGAAUAAGCACCGGCUAACUUCGUGCCAGCAGCCGCGGUAAUUC
rnacentral:rRNA from 1 species